rnacentral:rRNA from 1 species
CCCUUAGAUGUUCUGGGCUGCACGCGCGCUACACUGAAGCUAUCAACACGUUUUCCCUCCCUGAGAAGGGCGGGUAACCUUUUGAAUCAGCUUCGUGGUAGGGAUCGGGGCUUGCAAUUGUUCCCCGUGAACCAGGAAUUCCUAGUAGACGCGAGUCAUAAGCUCGCAUCGAUUAAGUCCCUGCCCUUGUACACACCGCCCGUCGCUACUACCGAUUGAACGUUUUAGUGAGGCAUUUGGACCGACGCAUCUCAGUUUAACCGCUGGUUUGUGUUGGAAAGACUUCCAAACUUGAGCGUUUAGAGGAAGUAAAAGUCGUAACA